UACGAAGGGGGCUAGCGUUGCUCGGAAUCACUGGGCGUAAAGCGCACGUAGGCGGAUUGUUAAGUCAGGGGUGAAAUCCUGGAGCUCAACUCCAGAACUGCCUUUGAUACUGGCGAUCUCGAGUCCGGGAGAGGUGAGUGGAACUGCGAGUGUAGAGGUGAAAUUCGUAGAUAUUCGGAGGAACACCAGUGGCGAAGGCGGCUCACUGGUCCAUUACUGACGCUGAGGUGCGAAAGCGUGGGGAGCAAACAGG
rnacentral:rRNA from 1 species